rnacentral:pre_miRNA from 1 species
AGCCUUCAGAAUCCGUGCUGAGAUUUCGUCAGACACCAGUUAAUUAGGGCUGAUCAGACUUCCAAGAUACAUGAAGUG